CCUACGGGGGGCUGCAGUGGGGAAUAUUGGGCAAUGGGCGAAAGCCUGACCCAGCGACGCCGCGUGGGUGAUGAAGGCCUUCGGGUUGUAAAGCCCUGUCAUGCGGAAAGAACAGUCUUACGGUUAAUACCCGUGAGAUUUGACGGUACCGCAGGAGGAAGCACCGGCUAACUCCGUGCCAGCAGCCGCGGUAAUACGGAGGGUGCAAGCGUUGUUCAAAGUCGUUGGGCGUAUAGGACAUGUCGGCGGUGAAAUACUUCGGCUCAACUGAAGAACUGCAUCUGAAACUUCAUAACUAGAGUACAGAAGAGGGAAAUGGAAUUCCCGGUGUAGAGGUGAAAUUCGUAGAUAUCGGGAGGAACACCAGUGGCGAAGGCGAUUUCCUGGUCUGAUACUGACGCUGAGGCGUGAAAGUGUGGGGAGCAAACAGGAUUAGAUACCCUGGUAGUC
rnacentral:rRNA from 1 species